UACGUAGGGGGCAAGCGUUGUCCGGAAUUAUUGGGCGUAAAGAGCGUGUAGGCGGUCCGGUAAGUCAGCUGUGAAAGUCAAGGGCUCAACCCUUGAAAGCCGGUUGAUACUGUCGGGCUAGAGUCCGGAAGAGGCGAGUGGAAUUCCCGGUGUAGCGGUGAAAUGCGCAGAUAUCGGGAGGAACACCAAUGGCGAAGGCAGCUCGCUGGAACGGUACUGACGCUGAGGCGCGAAAGCGUGGAGAGCAAACAGG
rnacentral:rRNA from 1 species